GACAGCUCCAGGACUCAGUCUCUGCCCCACACUGAGGCGGGCACUUGGCAAGAGUUACGGCUCUCGAUCCUCACGUCCAUCCUGGGAGCACACACGGGAUACCCAGUGCACGUCCACCACUCCCUCCUCUGUGCCCGGCUGGGGCUGGGUCCAGGGCACACAGGUCUCUGCUCUGGGACAACUCAUCACGACCAGAGGGGAGAGGCGCCAUGGAUUAGUACUGCCUUCUGGAAUGCGGAGGAGAGCGUUCUCAGCACAGGGGAUGGAUGAGUGAAGCCCAAAGCUGAGCAUACUUGACAUUGAGACCCGCUGUUUUUUUCCUGUAAAUUGGAUCCCAAGCUUUUCUCAAAAGUAUCCUGAGAUGAUUCAAUGGGAAGAUGCAUAGAGAGGCUUGCUUAAUGCCUAGUACAUGGUCAGCAUCCAAGACCCAGGCAUUAUCAUUAGGAACUGGUACGACUCAGUGCCUUUCAGUCUGGACUGUGGAGUCGGGCUUGCCAGCUGUGUGACCUUAGUCCAAUUACUGCACCUCUCUGAACGUGUUUCCCCAUAGAAUUGUGAAAAUUACCUAAGAUAAUACAAGUCAAGUGGAUGGUGCCACUUGGAUGUGUA